AUGCCGAAUAAAAACAAGAAAGAGAACGAACCACCAAAACUGGUGAAAAGUGGAAAAGGUUCAAAAGAAGGACAAGAUACAGCAGAAGCAGAGAUAGCCAGCAUGAAAAACAGCCUCGCAGCUGUCCAGUCUUUGACAUCUACUAAAAUAAAAGUACCAGUUCCUCAGCCAAUCAUAGUCCCUGUGAAGAAAGACAAAUGGCAGAACUCUUCAUGGUUUGAUGCCAGCAAUAAGAGAGAACUGCAAAAACUCCCAUCUUUACAAAAUGUUCUUCCUGCGGGUCAAGAGAAGCUUUUCAUCCAGAAGCUACGUCAGUGUUGUGUCCUCUUUGACUUUGCUUCUGACCCACUGAGUGACCUGAAGUGGAAGGAAGUAAAGCGAGCUGUGCUAAGUGAAAUGGUGGAACAUAUCACCCACAACCUGAACGCGAUCACAAUGCCCAUUUACCCCGAAACCAUCCAUAUGUUUGCGGUUAAUAUGUUUUGAACCUUGCCACCCUCCUCCAAUCCUACGGGAGCAGAAUUCGACCCAGGAGGAGAUGAACCAAGGUUAGAAGCAGCCAGGCCUCAUCCGCAGCUUGUUUAUGAUUUUUUUUUUUUUAAAAGAUUUUUAGAGUCUCCAGAUUUUCAGCCCAAUAUAGCAAAGGAAUGUAUUGAUAGGAAGUUUGUAUUGCAGCUUAUAGAACUCUUUGACAGCGAGGAUCCUUGGGGGAGAGAUUUUUUAAAAACGACCCUGCACAGAAUCUAUGUGAAGUUCUUAGGCCUGUGCGCUUACAUCAGGAAACAGAUCAAUAAUAUAUUUUAUAGGUUUAUCUAUGAGACAGAGUACAAGAUUUUCCUUUUGAAGGUGUUGCUGCCCUUGCACAAAGUGAGGUCCCCUAGUGUCUACCAUCCCAAGCUGGCAUACUGUGUCAUGCAGUUUUAGAGAACAGCACCCUCACUGAACCAGUGGGAAUGGCACUUCUCAAAUAUUGGCCAAAGACUCACAGUCCAAAAAAGAAAAAGUAAUGUUCUUAAAUUAAUUGGAAGAAAUUUUAGAUGUAAUUCAGGUAGUUCGUGGAUAUUGUUUGGUGCCUGUGGCCACCUGGACCCAAGACUUCUUGGAAGACAGCAGCCCUUCAGCCUUUAAGAGCACUGAAUGUUAA